UACGAAGGUGGCAAGCGUUACUCGGAAUUACUGGGCGUAAAGCGCGCGUAGGCGGUUUUGUAAGUCGGGUGUGAAAUCCCCAGCUUAACUUGGGAACUGCAUUCGAGACUGCAUAGCUAGAGUAUGGGAGAGGGAAGUGGAAUUUCAGGUGUAGCGGUGAAAUGCGUAGAUAUCGUCAAGAACACCGAUAGCGAAGGCAGCUUACUAAGCAGUAACUGACGCUGAGUGCACGAAAGUGUGGGGAGUCAAACAGG
rnacentral:rRNA from 1 species